GAGGAGCUGAUCAUUAUCCAGAAAAUGUUGUAGAAAUACAAGUAAGGUAGUGAAAUAAUUACCACAAAAAGUGGUGAAAAGUAAGGCUACCAAAAUGAAAAGCUAACCAACAUAAUCGAUAAAGAAGGUUAUCAUAAAAGUCAGGAUGCUACGUCAUAAGG